rnacentral:lncRNA from 1 species
AUGUGCCUAGCACAGAUUUCAGACUUCUGGACAUCAGAACUCAUACUUGUUGGAUCUUCUGAAAAAUUGGAUAGUACAAGGAAGCCUAACAUUGCCAGAUCAAGAGAAGCAAAGAAUGCAAAAGAAAGUGAAAGCGAGAGACCAGGAGUUGGAAGCCCAGCCAGCAUAGAUCAGCUUCAAUUCAAGCUUGAAUUGAAAAUGACUAUCAUUCUUGUUGUGCUGCAUCCUACUGUGUUUGGUUAUUGCAUUACACAGAAGAGGCAGUGGCCAUAUCCUGUGGACAGCUCCAUUGCCUUCACCAUGGGUUAACCAGCUGUUCAAUAUCCCAACACAGGGAGUUUUUAAACCUUUCUCUGCCAAUUUGAUCUUCUGGCACACUCAAAUGGAGGAAAGUUUGGAGGAGACUGGGAGUGUGGGAGUUAUGUGGAGAUCCUGACAAAAUUUAAG